rnacentral:misc_RNA from 1 species
GAUGAAGAACGCAGCGAAAUGCGAUACUUGGUGUGAAUUGCAGAAUCCCGUGAACCAUCGAGUCUUUGAACGCAAGUUGCGCCUCAAGCCAUUAGGUUGAGGGCACGUCUGCCUGGGCGUCACAUAUCGUUGCCUGAUGCCAGUUUCCUCGUGAUGGGUGACUGUGCAGGGCGAAUGAUGGCUUCCCGUGAGCAUUGUUGCCUCAUGGUUGGUUGAAAAUUGAGUCCUUGGUAGGGAGCGCCGUGAUAGAUGGUGGUUGAGUGACGAACGAGACCCAAUCAUGUGAGACCCCUACCGAAUUUGGCCUUCAUGACCCACAUGCGUCUUUGGAACGCUCAUGACGAGACCUCAGGUCAGGCGGGGCUACCCGCUGAGUUUAAGCAUAUCAAUAAGCGGAAGA